rnacentral:rRNA from 1 species
AUUGAACGCUGGCGGCAGGCCUAACACAUGCAAGUCGAACGAGUGGCGGACGGGUGAGUAAUGUCUGGGAAACUGCCUGAUGGAGGGGGAUAACUACUGGAAACGGUAUCUAAUACCCCAUACCAUCAGAUGUGCCCAGAUGGGAUUAGCUAGUUGGGGGGGUAACGGCUCACCAAGGCGACGAUCCCUAGCUGGUCGGAGAGGAUGACCAGCCAAACUGGAACUGAGACAGGGUCCAGACUCCUAAGGGAGGAAGCAGUGGGGAAUAUUGCACAAGGGGCACAAGCCUGAUGCAGCCAUGCGGCGGGUAUGAAGAAGGCCUUCGGGUGGUAAAGUAAUUUAAGCGGGGAGGCGGUACCCGCAGAAGAAGCACCGGCUAACUCCGUGCCAGCAGCCGCGGUAAUAC